rnacentral:rRNA from 1 species
CAGUCGCCACGGUAAUACGGAGGGUGCUAGCGUUGUUCGGAAUCACUAGGCGUAAAGGGCGCGUAGGCGGCCUGUUAAGUCGGAUGUGAAAGCCCGGGGCUCAACCCCGGAACUGCAUCCGAGACUGGCAGGCUUGAGACCGGGAGAGGAGGGUGGAAUAUCCAGUGUAGAGGUGAAAUUCGUAGAUAUUGGAUGGAACACCGGUGGCGAAAGCGGCUCUCUGGCCCGGAUCUGACGCUGAGGCGCGAAAGCGUGGGGAGCAAACAGGAUUAGAUACCCCAGUAGUUCCUGUCUCUUAUAA